UUGACGUGACGUCAACAAUGCUUUGCCGUUUUAAUAUAUUUAUUGUUGUCAAAACGGUAAAUACGCACAUUCGUCUGAAUAUAAUUUAAUUUAAAAAGAUCGCUGUUUGCCAUUUAUAAUUAUAUUUAAUUUAAAUGUGUAUAAAUAUAAAAUAUCUGGGAAUAGAGAAUACUACCUAAUGAUGAUAUCUAGAAUGACUGCGAGGACGAUGAUGACCACAAGACCAACACCAGCCACUGCUCCAGCAAUCAUUGGCAUCAUGUUUUGAUCUUCAGAUUAUUAAAAAGGUGAUGAGCCACUCAGAAUGCCUCCCCUUCAUCCAACUCCCCAUAAAAGGUAGAGAGGAACGGUCAUCAAUGACCGGGAGUGAGUCAACGAGAAAAUGCCGACACUCCCAGCCCGCUUCACCCGCUUCACACUCAGAAGGGAAGACUGUGUCUCGUCCUCGUGGUCUCGAUCGUUCGUCAGUGUUACUUGACGUCUUGGCAAUGCAUACUAUAGAAAUGAUCCCUAAAAUUGUCCAGGUUUGAAGAUGUACUUUCUGUUGUUAAUCUGUGAAUCGUCCACCUGGACGUUUGUACCUUGGAAGGACCAAGUGAUGUCCACGUAAUCGUUGGCACAAGAGGAAAGCUG
rnacentral:lncRNA from 1 species